rnacentral:rRNA from 1 species
GACGAACGCUGGCGGCGUGCUUAACACAUGCAAGUCGAACGGGGAUAUUUAGAAGAAGCUACUUGUAGUGGACUUUAAAUAUUCUAGUGGCGAACGGGUGAGUAACGCGUGAGGACUUACCCAUUUCCGGGGGAUAACAGUUGGAAACAGCUGCUAAUACCGCAUAAGCCUAAGGGGAAAAGAAGUAAUUCGGGAAUGGAGAGACUCGCGUCCUAUCAGCUAGUAGGUGAGAUAAGAGCUUACCUAGGCGAAGACGGGUAACCGGACUGAGAGGUCGAACGGUCACACUGGAACUGAGACACGGCCCAGACUCCUACGGGAGGCAGCAGUGGGGAAUUUUGGGCAAUGGGGGGAACCUUGACCCAGCGACGCCGCGUGAGUGAAGAAAUUCCUCGGAAUGUAAAGCUCUGUUGUAUGGGAAGAUAAUGACGGUACCAUACGAGGAAGCCCCGGCAAACUACGUGCCAGCAGCCGCAGUAACAC